CUUUUCUGGGGAUCCUUCCUUUGGAGAUUUACAGCAAAUCUAGGAGAAGGCUCACUAAAUUGACGAUCUUUUCCUCACUCCAUGAUACCAUUUUGAAAUAAGUGAAGGAUGGUGUCUAUAUUCAGUUCUAGAACCACUCAAGCCUUUAGAAACAGUAACGACAAUAAAUAUUCAAAACAAAUGGAAAAAGCAUAACAGGGAAACAAUUGUUCCUUGGAGACACAUCGGUAUAAUGCUACAGAUGUCAAGGUUCGAUUUUCUUUGUAAGGAUCAAAAUUCACAUCUCCAAACUCCUAAAAAUGUUAUCUUGAGUUGCUCUGUUAUUGUGGCAUUAUCAAGCUAGUCCGCUGAAGGCAGUUUCUUUGCAGAAAACAAUUUAAGAUUUAUUGGAGAGUUUUACUCUCUAUCCCAUUGGUUAUAGCCAUGACUGUGGAAAGAUAAGACACAGGUUCUGAUCUGUUCCAAAUGCUUGUUGUUCUUUAAAAAAAAAUCCAAUAAUGUUUAAGUAUUGUUGCGACAUAAGCUUUUAGUUUCUUCUUGUUAUUACUCUUUCCUUCAUGUACUGUCAAUUUAUCUGAAUACUGUUGUUACUAGAACUGUUUUGGCUGAAAAACUAUUUUUCAUCUCAUUCUCAGCAUGACAGUCUGUUUGACUUAAAACAUUCCAACUGAAAAGUCAAGAUAGUUAACUUUAUCCUACUUUAAUUUACACUUUAUGAUGUCACAACACAUCACACAGACAUGAAUAAGACUUGUUAGUCAUAGAAAUACAGAAAGCCAAAGCUUGGAAUUCCUCCAGAUACUGGCUUGUAAGGACAUCAUAAUGGUGCUAAAAUGAGAGAAUCAACUAAAGGGAGAGUUUGAUCUGCUUAUUUCUGAAUGAGACAAAGUCCAGUAAUUACAUCAGAAUGUACUGAAAUUACAAUUUCUGGAAAAAAAUAAUUUUGUGUAUGGAGAGAAGUCAGAAUAACCAAGAUAAAGUAUGACUAAUUAAUCUAAGAGAAACUGAAGAACCUAGAAUACAGUUUUCUCUUGCCUCCCAAUGAAUAUUAGUUAUGCUACCAUAAGAUCUUAAACUUUUAAACUUUAAACUAUGUUUUAUUAUACAAGUUUUCUUCAUU